rnacentral:rRNA from 1 species
UAUCGGGGUGAGACUAAGCCAUGCAAGUCGAGCGUUUCCUAGCCAUGUUGGAGACGCGGCUAACCGCUCAGUAACACGUGGUCAACCUGCCCUUAGGACUGAGAUAAUCCCGGGAAACUGGGGCUAAUAUCAGAUGGAUGAGGACUCCUGGAAUGGUACCUCGUCUAAAGGGCGUCGAAGACAUGCUUUCGAUGUUGCCUAAGGAUGGGACCGCGGCCGAUCAGGUUGUUGGUGAGGUAACGGCUCACCAAGCCUAUAACCGGUACGGGCCCUGAGAGGGGAAGCCCGGAGAUGGAACCUGAGACAAUGUUCCAGGCCCUAUGGGGCGCAGCAGGCGCGAAACCUCCACAAUGCACGAAAGUGUGAUGGGGUUACCCCGAGUGCCUUCCUUAUAGGAGGGCUUUUCUCCGGUGUAAGGAGCCGGAGGAAUAAGGAGGGGGCAAGAUUGGUGUCAGCCGCCGCGGUAAUACCAACCCUCCGAGUUGUAGGGAUGAUUAUUUGGCUUAAAGCGUCCGUAGCUGGCUUGGAAAGUCUUCCGUUAAAUCCAGCGACUAAUCGUUGGGCUGCGGAAGAUACUAUCAAGCUAGGAGGCGGAAGAGGCCGACGGUAUUCCUAGGGGAGGGGUGAAAUCCUAUAAUCCUAGGAGGACCACCAGUGGCGAAGGCGGUCGGCCAGAACGCACUCGACAGUGAGGGACGAAAGCUGGGGGAGCGAACCGGAUUAGAUACCCGGGUAGUCCCAGCAGUAAACUAUGCAGGCUAGGUGUUGGAGUGGCUACGAGCCACUUCAGUGCCGCAGGAAAACCGUUAAGCUUGCCGCCUGGGGAGUACGACCGCAAGGUUGAAACUUAAAGGAAUUGGCGGGGGAGCACUACAAGGGGUGAAGGCUGCGGUUUAAUUGGAUUC